CAGACGGUUACUUAAGCAGGAUGUGAAAUCCCCGGGCUCAACCUGGGAACUGCGUUNUGAACUGGGUGACUAGAGUGUNUCAGAGGGAGGUAGAAUUCCACGUGUAGCAGUGAAAUGCGUAGAGAUGUGGAGGAAUACCGAUGGCGAAGGCAGCCUCCUGGGAUAGCACUGACGUUCAUGCCCGAAAGCGUGGGUAGCAANCAGGAUUAGAUACCCUGGUAGUCCACGCCCUAAACGAUGUCGAUUAGCUGUUGGGCAGCAUGACUGCUUAGUAGCGAAGCUAACGCGUGAAAUCGACCGCCUGGGGAGUACGGUCGCAAGAUUAAAACUCAAAGGAAUUGACGGGGACCCGCACAAGCGGUGGAUGAUGUGGAUUAAUUCGAUGCAACGCGAAGAACCUUACCUGGUCUUGACAUGUGCGGAACCCUCCAGAGACGGAGGGGUGCCUUCGGGAGCCGUAACACAGGUGCUGCAUGGCUGUCGUCAGCUCGUGUCGUGAGAUGUUGGGUUAAGUCCCGCAACGAGCGCAACCCUUGUCAUUAGUUGCCAUCAUUAAGUUGGGCACUCUAAUGAGACUGCCGGUGACAAGCCGGAGGAAGGUGGGGAUGACGUCAAGUCCUCAUGGCCCUUAUGACCAGGGCUUCACACGUCAUACAAUGGUCGGUACAGAGGGUAGCCAAGCCGCGAGGUGGAGCCAAUCUCACAAAACCGAUCGUAGUCCGGAUUGCACUCUGCAACUCGAGUGCAUGAAGUCGGAAUCGCUAGUAAUCGCAGGUCAGCAUACUGCGGUGAAUACGUUCCCGGGUCUUGUACACACCG
rnacentral:rRNA from 1 species